rnacentral:rRNA from 1 species
AGCCACGGGAAAUUAUCUGUGGUUCAACCUGCCCAAUGUGAAUAAUGAAUGGCCGCGGUACCCUGACCGUGCUAAGGUAGCGUAAUCAUUUGGCUUUUAAAUGGAGUCAGGAAUGAAUGGGAUAACCGGGCUUAGCUGUCUCCUGCUUAUUUUUUUGAAUUUACUGUUCAAGUGAAAAAGCUUGGUGUUUAAAAAGGGACGAGAAGACCCUUAGAAUUUGUCUUAGAAGGAAAGAUUCUUCCUAAUGGUUUUGUUGGGGCGACAAAGGAGUAGCUAGAAACCUCCUGUUAGUUACAAGCCGAUUGUAUCAAGAAAGAAUAAAUUACCUGAGGGAUAACAGCAUAAUUCUAAAGUUGAGUUUGUGACCUCGAUGUUGGACUAGGAAACCACCAAGCUAGCCGUUUGUUGUGUUGGUUCUGUUCGAACUAUUAUUCCU